rnacentral:misc_RNA from 1 species
UAAAUAGUAAAAAAGCAAAUGGCCAAUUGAUGUUCCCCUACCAUUCAUUCAGAAUAGAACAAAUAGAUUUUUCUCACUUUUCCUUGCAAAAAGGCCAGGGAAAGGCUUAAGGAAUAUGGAAGGGAGGGCUGUUUUCCUUCAGUUGUGUUGUGUAAGAAAAUGUACAGGUAAAUUAGACUUGUUCAAGGAGUUCAACAAAUCACCAAUUAAACAUCAUUAAUGGCACCUCACACUCACUGAACAUCGGCAACAAAUCCCUCCAAGGUGUCAUAUGGCCAGAAUAAAUCUACCUCUAUGUCGACUCCACUUUAAGGACUAUCUUCAUGAACUCGUAUACGAAGUAACUUAUGGCAGCUGAUGGUAAAACCUGCAAUAAGCUGGGAAUUAAUCCUGCAUAAAGAGCAGGAACACCUCCUUGUUCAACUAUUUUGACACAAGUUGCCAAUGCAUUCAUCUUUGUUGCUCGAACUUGCAUUUGAAGGUGUCUCCUCACAACUUCAAAUGGAUAUGUUGCAGCUUCAGAGCAACAGCCAGCAAUAGCCCCAUAAAGCAAUGUUCUAAGGGGACCCAAUUCCAGUUGUUCCAAUGCAUUCAGUUCCUGGCCUUCUUGUUUCAAAUUUUGAAUUCUCUUCUUCCCUUCUGGUGAAUGGAGAUAAGCUGACUUUAAUAUAUCAUAAACACCAUAGAAAACUGCACCUGAAGGUGCCAUGCUCACUAAUGAGGGUACUAAACCCUUAUAUAAAGAAAAAAAGCCUUCAGUCUGGAUCAUGUGGCGGAAAGUUCCAAUUAUACCACCCAAUGCUUCCCCACCAGGUGCUACCAUCUUUGUCCUUAUAGUGUCCAUUGGCAAGCAAAGCAAGGAUGCAGUAAUUCCAGCUGCAGCGCCAGCAAGGAACCUCUCAAAAUUUGUUGUUUCCUCAUUCCCAGACCAUUUCAGAAGUUGGUUUCUAUAUGUAUCAUAUGCAUAGAAAUUGAUCGAUUUAAAUGGAGCAGUGCGAAGAAUAUUAACAAAGUUUCCCUUCCAAAAACCUUUCAGUCCUUCAGCUGCCUCAAUUGUCUUCAUGAGCUCAAAAAGACCCCUCUGUUCACCACGAACUACAUACUCAAGCUUCAAUCUCUCCAGAGGUGCUAUAAAAGUUCUUGAAACCAUAGCAGCAACAGCGCCAGCCCAGAGAUGUUUGGUGGUAUUCAAAGCAGCUGAUCGUGAUCUUCGCACUUCAACCUUCUUCUUCUCCUCCGAAAAAACCACCGCAUUAUCCUCCUCGAAAUUCUUAUCCUGUCCAUUUUGCCCCAAACCCUCUCGCGAUUCCCCAACGUAAUCUUCUUCAUCAUCGCUCCCUUUUAUCGACAAGCUCACCGAUAAAAACAACCCUCCCUUGUUUACCUUAUUCCCUCGCCGUCGAUCCUCGAAGCUUAACUCAUUCCUCGAAAAACACGAAGAAGAACGAGCUUUGAUCUUGGACGAGAUUAAGGAAACAAAGGAAGGACAUAUAACGUCAUCGCCAAGGAAAAGACCACCGAGGUGGGACGGCUGAUCGAACGGUUCAGAAUUGAGAUUGAUCAGAGCAGAGAAUAUCAGAUCGUGUCGGUACAUUAUGAGAGCGGAAGAAACUGUAAAACUUCAGCGAAAACAAGGAAGAGGAGGAGGAGGACGAGAAGAAGAGAAACAACACGAGAGAGUUAUAAGAAAUGGAAAAUAGUGGGAGAGACUUGAAUAGGAAGAGAGAAUAGCAUGGGAAGUGUUGGUGUUGUUGGAGAUGUGAAAGUGACAAAGGAAUUUCGGAGAUGCUGGCGGAGGUGCUGCGGUGGCUGCUUGGCUUCCACCGCCGCAGUCACAUUGCUCUCGUCGGAGGUAGUUGUUGGAACUUGGCCUUUGGGCUUUUCUUGCUUUUGUCUGUGUCGUGUGUUAUAAUACUAC